UCCUAGGGUAACCUGCGGAAGGAUCAUUACUGAGUGAGGGCCCUCUGGGUCCAACCUCCCACCCGUGUUUAUUAUACCUUGUUGCUUCGGCGGGCCCGCCGUAAGGCCGCCGGGGGGCUUCUGCCCCCGGGCCCGCGCCCGCCGAAGACAUCUCGAACUCUGUCUGAAGAUUGUAGUCUGAGUAUAAAUAUAAAUUAUUUAAAACUUUCAACAACGGAUCUCUUGGUUCCGGCAUCGAUGAAGAACGCAGCGAAAUGCGAUACGUAAUGUGAAUUGCAGAAUUCAGUGAAUCAUCGAGUCUUUGAACGCACAUUGCGCCCUCUGGUAUUCCGGAGGGCAUGCCUGUCCGAGCGUCAUUGCUGCCCUCAAGCACGGCUUGUGUGUUGGGCCCCGUCCUCCGAUCCCGGGGGACGGGCCCGAAAGGCAGCGGCGGCACCGCGUCCGGUCCUCGAGCGUAUGGGGCUUUGUCACCCGCUCUGUAGGCCCGGCCGGCGCUUGCCGAUCAACCAAAUUUUUAUCCAGGUUGACCUCGGAUCAGGUAGGGAUACCCGCUGAACUUAAGCAUAUCAAUAG
rnacentral:rRNA from 1 species